rnacentral:rRNA from 1 species
GCCAACGGCAUAGCUGGGUAGCUAUGUGUGGACGGGAUAAGUGCUGAAAGCAUCUAAGCAUGAAGCCCCCCUCAAGAUGAGAUUUCCCAACUUCGGUUAUAAGAUCCCUCAAAGAUGAUGAGGUUAAUAGGUUCGAUGUGGAAGCAUGGUGACAUGUGGAGCUGACGAAUACUAAUCGAUCGAAGACUUAAUCAAAA